rnacentral:rRNA from 1 species
UACAGAGGUCUCAAGCGUUGUUCGGAUUCAUUGGGCGUAAAGGGUGCGUAGGCGGCGGGGCAAGUCGGAUGUGAAAUCUCAGGGCUCAACCCUGAAACUGCAUUCGAUACUGCCUUGCUCGAGGACUGGAGAGGAGAUUGGAAUUCACGGUGUAGCAGUGAAAUGCGUAGAUAUCGUGAGGAAGACCAGUGGCGAAGGCGGAUCUCUGGACAGUUCCUGACGCUCAGGCACGAAAGCCGGGGGAGCAAACAGG